rnacentral:sRNA from 1 species
AGACAGAUUACAUCAAUGCCAGUUUCAUGGAUGGCUACAAGCAGAAGAAUGCUUACAUUGGCACACAAGGUCCUUUGGAGAAUACCUAUCGUGAUUUCUGGCUCAUGGUAUGGGAGCAAAAAGUCUUGGUGAUUGUCAUGACCACUCGGAACGGCAGAAACGCCAGGUGACCCACUUCCAGUUCUUGAGCUGGCCAGACUAUGGUGUCCCUUCCUCAGCAGCUUCCCUCAUUGACUUCUUGAGAGUGGUCAGAAACCAGCAGAGUCUGGCUGUGAGCAACAUGGGAGCACGCUCCAAAGGGCAGUGCCCUGAGCCACCCAUUGUGGUCCAUUGCAGUG